CCAGAGGGCCGGGCGGCCGCGUUGCAUGCAAAUGCACCGAGGAAAGUCCGGGCUCCACGGAAACACGGUGCCGGGUAACGCCCGGCGGUCCCGGUUCGCCGGGGUCAGGGAAAGUGCCACAGAGAGCAGACCGUCCACUGCCUUCGGGUAAGGACAUGGGUGAAAGGGUGCGGCAAGAGCGCACCGCGCGACCGGCAACGGAAGCGGCACGGCAAACCCCACCGGGAGCAAGAUCGAAUAGGGACCGCGCACGGGGAGUUCCGCCCCGCGGUCCGGGUUGAUUGCUUGAGCCCCCAUGCAAAUGUGGGCCUAGAGGAAUGGUCGCCUAUCGCGCGCACCUCCCUUCGGGGAAAGGGCCGCGUGGACAGAACCCGGCUUACAGGCCCUCUGGCAUC
rnacentral:RNase_P_RNA from 1 species